rnacentral:lncRNA from 1 species
GAAGAAACUUUGAUGUCAAAAAUUCUGAUAUCAACAACUCCUUCACUAAUUUCAACUCGAAACCAAGUAGUGAUCUCAAUGAUGGAUGGAAGAUGAUGAACAAUUCCAAUGGACCUCUUUUUUCCAUGCCACACAAUAAUAACUCUUCUUUUGCUGGAUUCAAUAAGGGAAUUUAUUCAUCUCCCUAUGUUAACAACCUUAACAAUAACACCAACAACCUUAGCAACAUCAAUCUUAAUGGUUACAAGUCAGGUUUUAAGGUUGGUGAUGAGUUUCAACUAGGUAACAAAGGUGUCAAGAAGAAUAUCAACAACAAUAACAACAUCAACAAGAAACAUGGAGAUAACACUGAUGUUGCAAAAACUUCUGCUGACAAGAAAUUCAAAACUCUGCCACCGUCUGAGUCCUUACCUAGGAAUGAAACCAUUGGUGGCUAUAUCUUUGUUUGCAACAAUGAUACCAUGGCAGAAAACCUCAAAAGACAGAUCUUUGGUAUGUUUCCUCUAUCCCUCUUUUUAUGAGAUCAUUGUUAUUGCUUUAAUAAUUUUUCCUUUUUUACAUAUGUGCUUCUUAGCUAUAGGGAUUGGUAAUUUUAUACAAUAGAUUUUCUUGUUUUUAAUUUCAUAUUUGUGGUGUUGUGCUUCAUAAGAUUCAUGUGACCAUGGAACUGAGAUCUUACAAAAAAAAGUUAACUGAAUUAUCAAUAGUCUUUGGUGUUUAGGUUGAAAUUUAAUUGUGUAAUUUGGUCUCUAAAUUUUUGGUUUACCUGGUAAAUUUUGUAGGUCUGCCUCCAAGAUACAGAGAUUCAGUUAGAACAAUAACCCCAGGGUUACCCCUUUUUCUGUACAACUAUUCCACCCACCAACUCCAUGGUAUUUUUGAGGUAUGUAUCAUUUUUGUGCAUUUAUGUUCUACUAUUAUAAUUGGAAAUAGGAAUCAAUCUUCAAAGGGUAAUAAUAUUAAUAUUUGGUGGUGUUUGUUUAGGCUGCAAGUUUUGGAGGAAGUAAUAUUGAUCCAACAGCUUGGGAGGAUAAGAAGUGCCCUGGUGAAUCUCGUUUCCCUGCUCAGGUAUAAUCUCCAAUCCAAUUAUUAUCAUCGACUUAUUUGUGUUUAUCUACCGGCUUAAAUGCUCAGGAUAGUUUAUGAGAACAAUUUGACUUUGUUUUAUCUUUUGUUAUGGAUACAGCUUAUAUGAUAAACACUUACAGUAUAAGUGCUUAAUUUAACUGUUUGUCUAAAGCUAAUGAAUUUGGACACAUGAUGUUUGCAGGUACAAGUGAUAACUAGAAAAGUUUGUGAGCCAUUAGAGGAGGAUUCCUUUAGACCAAUUCUUCAUCACUAUGAUGGUCCUAAGUUUCGUCUUGAACUGAGUGUGUCUGAGGUAUAAUUUCAUCAUCAAUUUGCACAAUAUUGAUCAUUCAUAUAGUUUUUUUUUUUUUUUAAAUCUCUGAAUUAAACUGUGUCUUUAUUUUUCUUUCAGGCACUGUCUCUUUUGGAUAUUUUUGCUGAUCAGAAUAGUUUCAAUGAUAUUUUCAAAGCUAUACCGGCAUAAAAUGGAAGAAGAUUAAAGAGAAUACAAGAACAUAAUUAUGAAGAAAAUAGAAAAUGAAGAUUGUGGACCUGUAGAGAAGGGUCCUAAGAUAUGACAAUGAAUAUGGUGGAGGAAGAUUUGAUAUUGAGCCUAUAUAUGUAUAAGAGCUAUGGUAUUAUUUGUAUAGAGGUUUUGUGCCUAAUUUCCCCCCUU